AGAGUUUGAUCAUGGCUCAGGACGAACGCUGGCGGCGUGCCUAACACAUGCAAGUCGCACGGGACAGGAAGCAAUACUAACUGAUGACAAGCGGCGGACGGGUGAGGAAAACGUGGGAAUCUACCCUCAAGCGGGGGACAACCAAGGGAAACUUUGGCUAAUACCGCAUAAUCUCGAGAGAGUAAAGCUGCCGGUAACGGUGGCACUUGAGGAGGAGCCUGCGUCCGAUUAGCUAGUUGGUGUGGUAAGAGCUCACCAAGGCGAUGAUCGGUAACUGGUCUGAGAGGACGACCAGUCACACUGGGACUGAGACACGGCCCAGACUCCUACGGGAGGCAGCAGUGGGGAAUAUUGGACAAUGGGGGCAACCCUGAUCCAGCGAUGCCGCGUGAGUGAAGAAGGCCUUCGGGUCGUAAAGCUCUUUAGGUGGGGAAGAAGGUUAUGUGGGGAUAAUCCAUGUAGCUUGACGGUACCGACAGAAUAAGCACCGGCAAACUCUGUGCCAGCAGCCGCGGUAAUACAGAGGGUGCAAGCGUUAAUCGGAGUUACUGGGCGUAAAGGGCGCGUAGGCGGUGAGAUGUGUGUGAUAUGAAAGCCCCGGGCUUAACCUGGGAAGUGCAUCGCAAACUAUCUGACUGGAGUAGAUGAGAGGGUGGCGGAAUUUCCGGUGUAGCGGUGAAAUGCGUAGAGAUCGGAAGGAACGUCAAUGGCGAAGGCAGCCACCUGGCAUCAUACUGACGCUGAGGCGCGAAAGCGUGGGGAGCGAACAGGAUUAGAUACCCUGGUAGUCCACGCUGUAAACGAUGAGUACUAAAGGUUGGUAGGGGAACCUAUCAGUCUUGAAGCUAACGCGAUAAGUACUCCGCCUGGGAAGUACGGCCGCAAGGUUGAAACUCAAAUGAAUUGACGG
rnacentral:rRNA from 1 species